rnacentral:pre_miRNA from 7 species
UUCUAUUGGUAUGCAAUUGUAAGACCCUCUUUCGGGGACCCCCACUCUAGUCUCGGGAAAGAGAGCACACCCAGAGAAACACAAGAAUAC